AUAUUUUUUUCAGAUAUUUCAAUAUGUAUAACACUAUAGUAUCGGAAUUUCCGUUUAAGAAUAAUAAUAAUAGUUUAAUGGCCGAUUUUAAAGAGCUGGGAUGUAGGUGAAUAAUAAGAAGAAGUUAUAUCAGUUUAAAGUUAAGACCGAAGGAGUAAGGACAAUAUACUUUAUAUUCAUUUUAAGAUGAUAAAUUGAUAACUCUUCUUUACUUCUCGGAUCUAUACGUUUGAUUGUCUGUAGUUCUCCACAUUCAUAAAACGGAAAAUCGGACAUACCCCAUUUAUGAAGUAGGAUGUUACACUUUCCUUAGCCCGUUAUUAUUGGAUUGAGCGUUGUCCAAUGACACCUUGCAAUAUCCCAACUAGGAACUUUCAUAAAUAGUUCUUUAAUAUGGUCUGUGUUACGGUUUUCUGUCUGUUCUCAACGUCUCGUCCAUAGGUAUUCUACGGACUUUUUCUAAAAUUCUGCAUGCCAAACGGAACCUUUAGACUCAAAGUGUAAUAGUUGUGUUUAGUAGUGGUAGUUUAUGCUGUCUCUCUAAUUUAUGUAGAAUCUUAGUAGUUAAGACAGUCUCCUUAGAUCUGGAAGUGUUGUAAUGUAAAGGGUGGGUAACCACAUUGA